rnacentral:rRNA from 1 species
UACGUAGGGGGCAAGCGUUGUCCGGAAUCACUGGGCGUAAAGGGCUCGUAGGCGGCCAACUAAGUCAGACGUGAAAUCCCUCGGCUUAACCGGGGAACUGCGUCUGAUACUGGAUGGCUUGAAUCCGGGAGAGGGAUGCGGAAUUCCAGGUGUAGCGGUGAAAUGCGUAGAUAUCUGGAGGAACACCGGUGGCGAAGGCGACAUCCUGGACCGGUAUUGACGCUGAGUGAGCGAAAGCCAGGAG